CAGUAGCGUAUAUUAAAGUUGUUGCAGUUGAAACGCUCGUAGUCUGAAAUUAAUCCUUUUAUAGGAAGAACUGUUCACCCUAAUUACCUUGGUCGUUAGGUCAGUGACGGUCAUUCACCUUGAUGAAUCUAGAGUGUUCAAGGCAGGCCUAGCCUGAAUACUGCUGCAUGGAAUGAGAUUGAUAUUAUAUCUCUCUCGGAUCGGAGAGAUCAAAGUAUCUUAAGAAACAGUCGAGGGCAUUAGUACUUGACCGUCAGAGGUGAAAUUCUUGGAUUGGUCAAUGACUAACAAAAGCGAAAGCAUCUGCCAAGGAUGUUUCUUUGAUCAAGAACGAAGGUCAGGGGAUCGAAGAUGAUUAGAUACCAU
rnacentral:rRNA from 1 species